CUGAAUUGCAUAUUAGGUUUCCGUCCUUAACUUCUGUUGUGUUUUUAUGUUUCCUAGAUUAACGAUGCAUAUAUGAACAUAGUGAUUGAAUUUCUAGUAAAGAAUACAGCCAUGGUUGAUCUUGGCAUCAGAACGUGCGUAUUAGGUGAUUCUGGAAGGAUGGCACUGUCAUUUUCUGUAAUCUGCAGCCAGUAUACUGGAAUGCAUAAUAUGCAGUGGUUCAAACCAAGUAGAAAAAAGCCAGGAGAGCGUACUAGGUCAUAACCAAUCAGAAGCCUUAAUCAUUGUUAGACUUGGACUUGGGUUGAUCAUCAGUUGAAUGUAAUGCUUGAAGUACUCCACUUUAUAUGCAAAUCUUACAACAUUAUUUUCCCCUCUUUCCAUCACUCAUUAUUAAAGGUAAUCCUGUUCCAUAAGAUGAUGAUUUAUGGUUUGUGGAUUCGAUGAUCCUAACAAUUUUUCCAGCUGCCAACUCACAUGAGAGGGGGGAAUGACAAGGUAGCUUACAUCGACAUGGACGGAACUUUGUAUCCUAUUAUAAUUUGUCAGUCAUUUUCUUAACCUCAGCAAAGCUGCUUUUGUUUCAUACUCGGCGUACGUCCAUGUAAGUGCAUAUGCACUUUCUUAACUUGGUACACAUGCAGUCGCCUUGAUCGAAUUGUACCAAUAGCCAAAAGAUUUGGCAUGGAUCCUGGUGCCGUCCUAGAUAAUAUCAUUUAUGCCUGUGCCCAUACUUAUGAGCAUCAGCACAACUUGCUUCUUGGUUUGGCUGCCAAAAUGUCUGAAGAACCAAUUAGGUUACUGACUGUGGAUCCAGUGAUCACUCUAUUUUGAGUAGAUUUUACUGGAAGGGGAGAAUUUUCAGAGCGUUAGAAAAAAUUGGCACAAAUGCUCUCACGCUUACUUAAGACAGCUGAGGAAUUUAACUUGGCAGUGUACAUGACCAAUCAAGUCGGAGCUGAUCCAGGCGGUGGUGUAUUCAUAUUAGACCCAAAAGAAACCUGCAGGUGGGCAUGCUCUGGCUCUUGCAGCCACAAUUAGGUUGACGUUUAGGAAAGGCAAAGGUGAGCAGCGCGUCUGCAAGGUGUUUGAUGGCCCAAACCUACCGGAAGCUGAAGCUAUAUCCCUUUUGCGCCAGAUCUUCGUCUAGCUGUAUACUUUACUCCAUUGAAUUUUACCCGAUUAUACUGCGGAGACCAGACUUGAUGAACACGUUGUUCAGAUUACACCAGGAGGCAUGGCCGCUGCAAAGGACUAAAGAGGUCCCUGCAAGCAGAACAAUAAGAUCAAGCACUAAAAAUGAUAAUGAAAGAGGGCGCCAUGUCUGGACGGGCGGGCGGAAUGGAUGAGCAAAGGGUGCCAUGGACUGAGGAAGAUCCCGAGACUCAUCUAAGACAACUAAAUGCACCCCGAGGUUCUGCCGAGGAACUGGGGGACCUUCUUGAGCACAGGAUAGGCAAUUGAGAGAUAGAGCUAGCCUAUUCCCUUUUGUGUUGAUCUGCAAUUUGAUAUUAGCUGAGUAUUGACAGCUUCCUUCUAUCUUCUUUUUCCUAUUAAGUUUGUAUCGGCACGUGUCAAGUUCCCGUUGACAUCUUAAAAAUUGCAAGAUUGACUGCUGCUUUAGCCCUAAUCUCUAACAUGCUAUCAUUGUCUGU